rnacentral:tRNA from 1 species
CAGAAUAUAACUUAACUUAAAGUACCUCGCUUACACCGAGACCAUAUUUGUGAAAACCAAAUUAUUCUGA